GUUGAACGCUGGCGGCAUGCUUUACACAUGCAAGUCGAACGGUAACAGGCCGCAAGGUGCUGACGAGUGGCGAACGGGUGAGUAAUGCAUCGGAACGUGCCCAGUCGUGGGGGAUAACGCAGCGAAAGCUGCGCUAAUACCGCAUACGAUCUAUGGAUGAAAGCGGGGGACCGUAAGGCCUCGCGCGAUUGGAGCGGCCGAUGUCAGAUUAGGUAGUUGGGGGGGUAAAGGCUCACCAAGCCAACGAUCUGUAGCUGGUCUGAGAGGACGACCAGCCACACUGGGACUGAGACACGGCCCAGACUCCGACGGGAGGCAGCAGUGGGGAAUUUUGGACAAUGGGCGCAAGCCUGAUCCAGCAAUGCCGCGUGCAGGAAGAAGGCCUUCGGGUUGUAAACUGCUUUUGUACGGAACGAAACGGUCCUGGUUAAUACCCGGGGCUAAUGACGGUACCGUAAGAAUAAGCACCGGCUAACUACGUGCCAGCCGCCGCUGUAAUAC
rnacentral:rRNA from 1 species